rnacentral:snoRNA from 1 species
GGCUAUAAAAGGGCGCGACGCCGCGGAGCGAGCGGAGAAGGAGCGGCGCGCGGUGCGUGGCGUGUGCGUGCGUGGGGGUGCGUGGGUGCGUGCGUGGGGUGAGCGCGCGCCGCCCUCUCUCCCUACACGUUGAUCUUAUUCGAUCGGCCACCCAGCGUGGGCCGAGAUGAGAAGAACCCGGUGCCGCGAAGCCGCGGGCGCUGUGCGGCGGGCGGGCGGGAUGAGUCGAUCAGAUAGGCGAGGCCGCCCGGCCUUUGAGCGGAGGCGAUUCUGAUCCGC